GGGGCAUUAGCUCAGCUGGGAGAGCGCUACACUGGCAGUGUAGAGGUCAGCGGUUCGAUCCCGCUAUGUUCCACCA
rnacentral:tRNA from 1 species